UUUGUUUUUGUUUUUGUUUUUGUUUUUUUUUUUUUUUGCUUUUGUUUUUUUAAUUUUUUUUAAGUCUUUUUUGCAAAAUGUAGAUUCUGUUUUGGGAAUGCUGAGUCCCUGCCCAGUUUGAUAGUGUUAUGUAAGAAGGCACAUUUCUUGUGUUUUCUGAUUACCAUUCUUUGAAACAGUCCAAACAAAGAAUACUACAGUAAGAAAAGGGGAAAGGAAGCUGUCACUCAGCCUUUCUUGAGAGGUGUCCUUUGCUUUUUUGAUGAAACUCAUGAAAGCCUCUGACAGUAGUAUCCGUUCUCAAUGGUCUCCUCUCCUCGGGUGUUAGGUAAUGGAGAGAGAUGAGCGUAGAAGAACAUCACUGGGCAGAUUCUUUCUUGGUACCCACUCAGACUAGAGAGCCUGGCUUCCAUGCUAAUGGAAGGGGAACAGACCUUCUUACUCAUUCUGCAGAGCGGUGUCUCAGGUGAGCCUGGCUCUGGCUUUCUAUGACUGUGUGUGUUUCUAGAGCACACAUGUUUCCUGGUUAUGUGUGCAUGGUCAAGCUUGUUGACUCUUCUGGAGAAGGCAAAUGUUGGUGAGAACGCUUGGUGCAUUGCAUGGGAUUUGUUCUCCUUGUGUCUGCAUUAGCAAUAAAUAGACACUCCAUUUGCAUAUUUAACACCCGUCUUCCUUCAGCCUACACCUCUUCACUCUGGGAUUAGCUGUUCACUACUUGAAGCUUUUGUGUCUAUGCUGGGAUAUAACUUUCCUCCUUAUUAAUCAGCAAAAGUCAUUUAAAAUGGUGUCAUUUAAAAUGAAAUAGAGAAAUAUUCAUAGUUGAGCUUUGGUGGGUAUUGCCAUAGUUGUUAUUCUCUUUUUUUCCUGUUACAUCACCUUUAUUCUUGUGUGUGUGUAUAUACAUACAUAUGUAUAGGCAUAUAUAUGUGUGUGCAUAUAUAUAUUUAUAUACACACUUUUAUAUAUAUACACACACACAUAUAUAUGCUCCUAUAAUUUUUGAAAGUAAAAAUAAAUUAUUCAUGUGCUAAAACUUUAUUUCUUCACAUACAUGGAAUGUUAGUGUAUAUAUACAUGGGAGUGCUGGGGGCUUCUACUGAACAAGGGUCAUCUGGACCUCAUUACAAGUAGAGUUGUUCAACACAAGACGUGGUGUGAAUGUUGCAAAGUGUUUUUAGAGAUAACAGAUAAAUGUGAUCAUAAGCAGUGUGACCCAUCACCUACUGUUUUUUGCCUUACCCACACUAUAGCAGGACUUAAUUGCUUUUCAUGACUGAAUAGUAUUCCAUUGUGUGAACAUAAUGAAUUUUUGUUGUUGUUGUUUAUCCAGAACAUCUGCUUUUAUUGCAUAAAUCCAGGACCUUGGACAUCUCCAUCAUUGUUCUAGGAUGGCUAUGAAUGUUGUUGCUGUGUGAUGAGCUCUUCUCUGUCCCUACCUCCCUCUGAAACCCACAAAUCUUGCCAAGACAGAGAAGUGGGAAGGAGGCACUUGGGGAUUGAGGUGAAAGUACUUGAGAGAAACAUCUAGUGUUAGCGUGUGAUCAUCCCUGUGGUCUGGACUGGUCUUACAUUCAGCCAGAGUCUUUGCAACAUCCCAGCCUUAGAGCAGUUCCUCCCCAUAUGGAGACAUCUCACUCUUUCUGCCUGCACACACUGGAACUUAGUUGUGGACCCAGGAUCACUCUCAGUGACCACCCUCGAGACCUUGGUGAUCCAGUUAGGGGCCGUCUAACAAGUGGAUAUUGCUGUGCUACAGAGUGUGUGAUGGACAGGCAUGUGGUACACCUGGGAGAGAGGGUCUUCGGGUUCAGUUCAAUGGCUGGGGCGGGGAGGAAGGCAGUUUGUGGUGGUUCGGAUCUGGAGCAGCAUGUUAGGGGAAAAGAGAGGCUGGACUAAGGGCAUCUUUAGUCUUAAAGACAAACCUGAAGAGCUUUCCCUUUAAACCAGAAGUCCCCUAAUCCGCUAUUUCUUAGGCUUAAAUUCAACAGUAAUGAACUGUCCCAUCACCCAAGUGAUGAAUUUAGUCCCAUCGGGCUUUCCAAAUCCCUAGAAAUCCCUUUCCUAGCCCACGAGCUUCACUGAGCACAGGGCUCCACUUCCAGUUAUCUUUGUUCUAAUUCCUACCUCUCAGCUCCCCUCAAUUUUCUGCUUACUGGGUUUAUGCUUUAACCAAAUGAGGGCGAGGUACGCGUAUUUUGAAAAUUCCAAUUUUAUGAAUGAUUUAGCGAGAACUUAGACUCAUUGAAAGAAGAGCAUCAUUUCAUCCUUUUUUAUCUUUUCUGCAGUAAAAUCACACGCUUACAUAUUGUCAGUUCAUAUGUGCACAAGUCAUCAUGUGACUGAAACACUAUGCCUUUCAGCUGUUCCAACAGCCUAGAAAAACUGGCUUCUCACGGGGGCGUGAACAGGUGACUCCUGCAGCCCCAGGAACCUCUAAAGACAAACUUUUUCUUGGAGGAAAGGGGGAAUUUAUUGUCCAUUAGCACAUCAAGAGCUGCAUUUAGGGGACCAUUAGUGCUUUUAGCUCCAAAUGAAAUUGCCCUCUCCUUCUCUCUUCCUUGAAACAGAUGGAAGGAGCUCUGACUUCCUGGCAGAAAGCCUCUGCGAUACCUUGUGCAAACUGCUUAAUUAACAUCUCUGAGCUUUGGUCACUACCAGAACAGGGGAGCCAGCACCAGUGUGUCACCGGAGGAUCAUACUGAACAUUGUAGUGACUCUGAACUGGCAGACCCAGAAGCAGGCCUGCCCUUGUUGAUGUGUGUAUGAUUUGAGUAGACUGGGGGACCGAAUAAUAUAUCGCUUGACUAGUCAUGUCUUUGGGUCGCAAGGAUCCAACCGGACAUCCCUGUGGCACCUUCGUCGUUCUCUUUAAGAUCUUCACAGCGUUCACUUGUACCUGCUGUGGUGGGAAGUGAGCAUUUUGAUUAUUCUUGAAGGCAUUAAAGCAUGACCAUCUUGAAGUGCCGUGAUCAUCCUCUACCUAUAAUUCAUCGUCGCCUCAGUUAACUCUGUUAAUUCACCUUACUCUG
rnacentral:lncRNA from 1 species